rnacentral:lncRNA from 1 species
CUAGAACCUGAACAAAAGACCCAGUCCCAUUUAACGGCAAAUUUGACAGUAACUCAGAUGAAAUUAUUAAUGUUUAGUAACCAUUGGAAAACCAUGAAGCUAGAGGAAGAAAAGAUGUUAAAGUGAGGAACUAAAGGCAGCCUGAGUUGGUGCAAAAGACUGAAAUUCUGAAGCUGAAAGUCGGGCAAGCAUGGUAUAGGGGCCUCACUGAACUGGAGAGUCAAACACACAAGAACACGAUGGUAGAGUAGGAGCUGUGCAGCCACACUUCUGACAGAAAUCUCCUCAUUGGGCAUCAUUGGGAUGUUCUGGCCCAAAAUACAGAUAUCAAUUUAGACUGUGUUUCUAGAGUAACAGCUAGACAAAGCAAGAAUUGAAAGACAACAGAUGGUGCAUCAGCUCCUGCACGAAUGCUGUCCUAAGCUGCCAAAUGCAAGGGAUUCAGGUGGAAGGUCUGACUGCCAUCACUCUGUCCCACCUCCUCCCCUAAAAGUCUUGUCAUGA